UGCAUGUACAAGUGGAAUUGCUGGGUCAUAUGACAAUCCUUUGUUUAACUUUUUAAGUAACUGCUAAACUGUUUUCCUGGGGUAUGGAACUUUAAGAUGGGCUUCAUGGUCCCUGUCUCCUGGUAUUCAUGUACCCCCUCUCCUUGAGUAUAGGCAGAAACUGUGACCUGCUUCUGACCAAUUGCAAAGGCAAUGAAGUGUCACUCUCUUCAGCAUGUGAGAUAACAUAAAACUGUGUCUAACUAGUCAAUUCACUCUAGACAUUCUCUCUCUCUCUCUCUCUCUUUCUCUCUCUCUCUCCAUUGCUUAUUUUGAAGUAGCAAGCUGCCAUAGUCAAUAACUACAAGGAAAUACAUUCUGGCAACUACUUGAGUGAUCUUGGAAGCAGUUUCUUCCACUGUUGAGCCUAUAGAUGAGGACACAGCUUGACUAACACCUGGAAUGUAGUCUCAUGAGACCCUCAGCAGAGGAUUGAAUAAGCUAUAUCAGUACUCUGAUCCACAGAAACUGUGAGAUAAUAACCACAUAUCAUUUCAAGUCUCCAAAUUUGUAUAAUUUGUUACCCAGCAUAGAAAACUAAUGUAGCAUGCUAGCAAUUGUUUUUAUUCAAAUAGUAUUUUCUGACACAGGUGAUUUCAUAUUCUUUGAUUUUUUUCUUUAGCAUUUUAUAAAUGAUUUUAUGUUAUGGUCUUAUGAAGGUUGAAAUCGUCUCCAAAGCUGCAUUUCUUAUGAGAAAUAUAGCUGCCAUCUGCAUUUUGUUCUUAAUUUUAUGGAAAAUGGCUUUAACAUUUCAAUAUUUGAUAUGUUAUAACUAACUAUAUAUAACUAUUAACAAAUUUUGUCUAUAACUAAUCUUCAUUUUUUAUUUCCACUUUUGUUAGGGUUCUUGUUAGGAAUUGCUGGUCCCCCUAAAUCUUAACAAUGACAUUUCUGUACCUAUCUACAUGAUCGCCUGCAGUUUUUUCCUUCUGAUUUGUUUGCACAAAGAAUUAUGCAGGAUUAAAAACUUCAAUGAACAAUAUCUCCCUUCUGUUUUGGCUUUAGAAAUCAGGUUGUUAUUGGUGGAACUGUACCCCUCCCACACCCCCAAUUCACAUGGUGAUGUUCUAACCCGCAGUACCUCACAAUGUGACCUUAUUUGGAGAUAGGCAUUUUUUAGAGGUAAUCAAGUAAAAAUGAGGUCAUUAGGAAGGCCUAACCCAAGAUGACAGUGUCCUCUAUGAGAAGGAGGAAUUUGGACAUAGACACACACAAGGCGAACAUCAUGUGAAGAUGAAGCCAGAGACCAGGAUGCUGCUUCAACAUGCCGAAGAACACCAGAGACUUCCAGAAAACCACUAGGAAUUCAGUGAAAGGGAUGAAACAGCUGCUCCCUCACAGCCCCUCAAAGGAACCAUCCCUGCCAACAUGUAGAUCUCAGACUUCCAGCUUCCAGAGCUGUUGGAUGAUAAAUGUGCGUUACUUAAGCCACUCAGUUUGUGGUACUUUGUUACGGCAGCCUAAGAAACUAAUACUCAGGUUUUUAUAAUGUCAGGUUGAGCCAUCCUCCACAUCUACUUUCUCUGGCAGUGACCAUUUCUGAUCAGGGACUGAAUAGAAGAUUCUAGUUAUUUAAUUACAAACAAAAUAAUUGAGAGAAGAAUGCAGUCAAGAUAAUUCCAAGAACAGCCCAUGACCUGGAGCCCAGUGCCCAGCUUCCACAGCAGUGAUGUGUUCACAUCAGGCCAGAUUCUUCCAUAAAAAGUUCACAUUUCUAUAAUAAAAAGUUCACAUGUU